GAUCAUUAAUGAGAUCAUGCCCUUCGGGGUAGACCUCCCACCCCCUGUUUACCGUACCCGUUGCUUUGGCGGUCCCGUCGCGAGACGGGCCGCCAGAGGACCUUCAAACCCGUAUUAUCAAUGUCGUCUGAGUACUAUACAAUAGUUAAAACUUUCAACAACGGAUCUCUUGGUUCUGGCAUCGAUGAAGAACGCAGCGAAAUGCGAUAAGUAAUGUGAAUUGCAGAAUUCAGUGAAUCAUCGAAUCUUUGAACGCACAUUGCGCCCCCUGGUAUUCCGGGGGGCAUGCCUGUUCGAGCGUCAUUACAACCCUCAAGCUCUGCUUGGUCUUGGGCGUCACCCCCCCGGGUGCGCCUUAAAAUCAGUGGCGGUGCCGUCUGGCUUCAAGCGUAGUAUUACUCCUCGCUUGGGAGCCCGGGCGUGCGUCUUGCCAAAACCCCAUACUUCUUUUAGGUUGACCUCGGAUCAGGUAGGGAUACCCGCUGAACUUAAGCAUAUCAAUAAGCGGAGGAAAAGAAACCAACAGGGAUUGCCUCAGUAACGGCGAGUGAAGCGGCAACAGCUCAAAUUUGAAAUCUGGCCCCCUCGGGGCCCGAGUUGUAAUUUGUAGAGGAUGUUUCGGGUGUGGCUCCGGUCUAAGUUCCUUGGAACAGGACGUCAUAGAGGGUGAGAAUCCCGUAUGUGACUGGCAGCCUACGCCCAUGUGAAGCUCCUUCGACGAGUCGAGUUGUUUGGGAAUGCAGCUCAAAAUGGGUGGUAAAUUUCAUCUAAAGCUAAAUAUUGGCCAGAGACCGAUAGCGCACAAGUAGAGUGAUCGAAAGAUGAAAAGCACUUUGGAAAGAGAGUUAAACAGUACGUGAAAUUGUUGAAAGGGAAGCGCUUGCAACCAGACUUGCGUGCGGCCGAUCAUCCGGUGUUCUCACCGGUGCACUCGGCCGUGCUCAGGCCAGCAUCGGUUUCGGCGGCUGGAUAAAGGCCAUGGGAAUGUAGCUUCUCUCGGGGAGUGUUAUAGCCCGUGGUGCAAUGCAGCCCGCUGGGACCGAGGACCGCGCU
rnacentral:rRNA from 2 species